UAAUUGAAGAGUUUGAUCAUGGCUCAGAUUGAACGCUGGCGGCAGGCCUAACACAUGCAAGUCGAGCGGCAGCACAAGUAAGUUUACUU
rnacentral:rRNA from 1 species